CUAAACCAGAUGUUAUUUGCUCUGAAAUUCGAAGGAAACUUUACUUAUUGGGUAGUUCUUAAGCAAAAUGCAGGAUCACUGAAUUUGCAUGCACACAUAAUGGCUGCUUACCUUCAAGAUCAACAUUGAGGCCAAUGUGGAACUGCCAAAUCAAAGAUGAAGUUUUUAAAACAGUUUUGCAGACACAGAGUGAUGAGAUUACAGCACUGUGUGACAGCACAACAAACACAACACAAGACACAGCAGGCAAUGCUAUUUCUGAAUCCAAACAUUUUCCCUCAUAGGAAAUGGCCUAGUGAGAGCUUAUGUGCUCACUGCAUCGCUGAGAAAGACUUGAGGAAUAAUUGGUCCCAGGAGAGUCAUAUGCCAGUGCCUUGAGAUUCCCCCUUCACACUGAGUAGUUGCCUUUGUUAUCUUCCCACUGCUGAUGUUAACCAGCAGAACAAGCACUGAACUGGAAUGUUUCUGUCAUAUUUUUCUUCGCCAAUCUAUUUUUGCUGUCCACCUUUUUGGAGUUUUGUUUGUGACUAAUGGCCUUACAAUGCUCGGAGCAAGAAGAGAACUGGGAGGUGAGCCUGCACUCUUCAGUGCCCUGAUGCUGUACAUUUGGAUCAAAACUCCAGAUCUCGAAUCUGUGGGUGACCUGCCACUGACGGGAGCUGAAGGCAGCGCACGAGCAGCCGGCCUGCAGGAGCUGGUGUUCCUGCCGCGGGGAGAAGCCUUUUCCAGUCCAGCAGGUAGGUGCACAUUGCAGCCAAAAACAGCCUCAGCAAAGCACUGCUGCUCCCUGAUCGCUGCUGCUCGGCCCCGAAGGGAUCAGGCAGUCACAGCGAGACUUGCAAGUCUAUUAAGAGGGAUCCUUGAGCGUUAUGGCCUUUCACUGGUGAAAUCAUAGCAGCAUUAAGCGAGAAAACAACUGAAAAAGGUUGUUCUAGAGUAGUUUCCUAGGUCUUUGGAUGUCUAAGCCUAAUUCACAGAUCAAAAUAAUGGAUAAAGGAGUGCUUAGGUGGGGGUUCUAAUGGAAAAGUAUCCUAGCAAAUC
rnacentral:lncRNA from 1 species